rnacentral:lncRNA from 1 species
AUGGAGCAGAAAACCCAGUGUUAUGCAGAAAUACAUCUGCCUCGGAGAAGGAAGGUUUGGGAGGUUUUCCAUUCAAACAGCUUCAGGAUAUUUGAUGAAACUCUGCCGGAGCGUCUGGAUCCUGCGAGUGUCUGUCCGAGACAGAAAUGUCCUUCUGGAUCUGUGAAGGAGUCCGAGAGCCGAAACGUCCCGCAUCCACACAACGCCAGCUUCAUCAGGACCAACGUCAGAAACACACAUUCCUGA